rnacentral:rRNA from 1 species
AACAAGGAUUCCCCUAGUAACGGCGAGCGAAGCGGGAAGAGCUCAAAUUUGAAAGCUGGCACCUCCGGUGUCCGCGUUGUAAUCUCGAGACGUGUUUUCCGUGCGGCUCCAUGGACAAGUCCCUUGGAAUAGGGCAUCGUAGAGGGUGAGAAUCCCGUACUUGCCAUGGAAGAACCGUGCUUUGCGAUACACGCUCUAAGAGUCGAGUUGUUUGGGAUUGCAGCUCAAAAUGGGUGGUAGACUCCAUCUAAAGCUAAAUAUCGGGGAGAGACCGAUAGCGAACAAGUACCGUGAGGGAAAGAUGAAAAGCACUUUGGAAAGAGAGUUAAAAGUACGUGAAAUUGUCGAAAGGGAAGCACUUGAAGUCAGCCAUGCUGCUUGAGACUCAGCCUGGCCUUUGGGCUUGGUGUAUUUCUCGGUGGCAAGCCAGCAUUGGUUUGGGUCGUCGGAGAAGCGCAUAGGGAAUGUAGCGUCUCCGGACGUGUUAUAGCCUUAUGCAGGAUACGACGACCUGGAUCAAGGAACGCAGUGUGCCCUCUGGGCGGGUCUUCGGACACCUUCACACUUAGGAUGCUGGCGUAAU